rnacentral:lncRNA from 1 species
GCAUUAUUUUUGUUUGGUUAGUUUGACUUUUAUUGAAGUAUAGUUGAUUAAUAAUACUGUGUUAGUUUCAGGUGUUCACCACAGCAAUUCAUAUAUAUAUAACUUAUCUAUAUAUAAUUUAUAUAUAUAUAAUUUUGGUGGAGGAAAUGGGAAACAUUGCUUACACAAAUUCUGACACCUUCUCUUGUGGUUUAGAAAAAUGAUGGAUAUGGAAGGCAGAAGAGUGUACAAAGAGAGGAAAGAAACGGUAGGACAGGAAAAUAAAUGCAAGGCCAUAACAUUUUGAAGGCCAGGAAAGGGGCUGCGCGUGCUGCAUUAGCCUAAACGUGGCGGAAGGAAAGCAGGGAGGCAGGGGGGUGCUUCUCCCGCAAGUCCUGAUGGGAGGGGUUUCCAGAAAACGGCUGGCCGCGCGUGCGGUGCUUUACUCACGUCUGGAGACAGCUCAAUAAAGCAGCUUUUCCUUUUCCAGAAACACGCCAAUGCACCGAGACAAGACUUGAAUGAAGCGAUAAUGUAAAUUAGAGAAAGGAGAUAAAAAUAACCUCUGGAUAUCCCUCUUGUAUGAGAUUUAUUCUGGAUGAAGCAUUAAGAUCGUUACUGGAAGUGUAUUACUUAUUAUUUUACCCACCUCCAAGAACUGGGGCAGGAGGACUAAUUCAUAUUUUAAAUGGAUUAUGGCUCUUAUUAUAGCAAUUCUAUACUUAGAAAGGAGCUUUAGUUGGCAGAGCUACAGAGUGUGUUUCAGUUAUGAAGGAACACAUUUUAACAUCAUGCCAGCAGGAUUUGCAUUUCUUUCUUAAAGAAAAUUUGAAGUAUUAACAUUUGACAGAUUGCUAGAGAAAACUGAGGAACAUCAUCAGUAGAACUGGAAACAUAACAUGGAAAAACCUAAGAUGCAAAGAUGAGUCUCAGAGAUGACCUAUGUUCAGAG